UACGUAGGGGGCAAGCGUUGUCCGGAAUCAUUGGGCGUAAAGCGCGUGUAGGCGGCUUGGUAAGUCUGCUCUGAAAGCCCGGGGCUCAACCCCGGGAGGCGGGUGGAUACUGUCAAGCUCGAGUCCGGAAGAGGAGUGUGGAAUUCCGGGUGUAGUGGUGAAAUGCGUAGAGAUCCGGAGGAACACCAGUGGCGAAGGCGACACGCUGGGCCGUACCUGACACUGAGGCGCGAUAGCAUGGGGAGCAAACAGG
rnacentral:rRNA from 1 species